AGUAGCUUGCUAUGAGCUGUUUUAGCGGCGGACGGGUGAGUAACGCGUGGGUGACCUGCCCCAUACCGGGGGAUAACAGUUGGAAACAGCUGCUAAUACCGCAUAAGCUCACAGAGCCACAUGGCUCAGAGAGAAAACUCCGGUGGUACGAGAUGGACCCGCGUCUGAUUAGCUAGUUGGUGAGGUAACGGCCCACCAAGGCAACGAUCGGUAGCCGGACUGAGAGGUUGAACGGCCACAUUGGGACUGAGACACGGCCCAGACUCC
rnacentral:rRNA from 1 species